rnacentral:rRNA from 1 species
UGAGGAAUAUUGGGCAAUGGGCGCAAGCCUGACCCAGCCAUGCCGCGUGCAGGAUGACUGCCCUAUGGGUUGUAAACUGCUUUUAUACGGGAAGAAAGAUUUCUACGUGUAGAGAUUUGACGGUACCGUAAGAAUAAGCAUCGGCUAACUCCGUGCCAGCAGCCGCGGUAAUACGGAGGAUGCAAGCGUUAUCCGGAUUCAUUGGGUUUAAAGGGUGCGUAGGCGGAAUGUUAAGUCAGUGGUGAAAUCCUGCAGCUCAACUGUAGAACUGCCAUUGAUACUGAUAUUCUUGAAUGUAGUUGAGGUAGGCGGAAUGAGUAAUGUAGCGGUGAAAUGCUUAGAUAUUACUCAGAACACCGAUUGCGAAGGCAGCUUACUAAACUAUGAUUGACGCUGAGGCACGAAAGCGUGGGGAGCGAACA